rnacentral:rRNA from 1 species
AUUGAACGCUGGCGGCGUGCUUAACACAUGCAAGUCGAUCGGUAACAGGUGUAGCAAUACAUGCUGACGAGAGGCGGACGGGUGAGUAAUGCUUGGGAAUCUGCCUAUUAGUGGGGGACAACCCGGGGAAACUCGGGCUAAUACCGCAUACGCUCUACGGAGGAAAGCCGGGGACCGCAAGGCCUGGCGCUAAUAGAUGAGCCCAAGUCGGAUUAGCUAGUUGGUAGGGUAACGGCCUACCAAGGCGACAAUCCGUAGCUGGUCUGAGAGGACGACCAGCCACACCGGAACUGAGACACGGUCCGGGACUCCUACGGGAGGCAGCAGUGGGGAAUAUUGGACAAUGGGGGCAACCCUGAUCCAGCGACGCCGCGUGGGUGAAGAAGGCCUGCGGGUUGUAAAGCCCUUUCGGUGGGGAAGAAAGUCUCGACCUAAUACGUCGGGACCUUGACGUAACCCACUAAAGAAGCACCGGCUAACUCUGUGCCAGCAGCCGCAGU